UUUUCACUUCAGUGCCGUUAGCCCCAAAACCUCAUCUCUUAAAAUCUCUUCACUUACAAAACCAAGCUUCAACUCUCACAAAACCAAGCUUUAGUGCCGUUAGCCCCAAAAUCUCACUCUCACAAAAACUAAGCUUCCUCGCCAUAACCAAGCUUCUCCGCCACCGCCGCCUUGAUUCUUUCGCCAUCGCCACUCUCUUCAGGUCCAGCCAUCGUCGCCUCGCGUCUUCUGCCUCGCCGUCACCAUCGCCAUUCUCUCCCGCCAACGGGUCGGGUAGCCUCAUCAGGAUUGGAUUUCGAUCUUCGACCAAACCACACACUUUCUCAGAAAAUUUGCUGCUGGUUUGAACCGUGUUGGCGAUGAUAGUCGCACUUCCAAAAGUGAGUAGCAAUACAUAUACAACUAAUUGCUGGCAAAGUAAGUGAAGUUGGUGAAAGAAUUAAGGUCCUGUCAGACUCGACAAGUUGAUGGUUUCAGAUGCUCGUUGAUGAUAUUGGAGACAUGACAAUUACUGAUGAUGGUGUUACAAUACUGAAGAUGUUAGAAGUUGAGCACCCUGCUGUGAAGGUGGAUAAACAGUCUCAUCUUGCUCAUACUUUGUUUUAUAGCUGCGAGGUUGCUAUAAUUUUUUGAUGGCUUUUUGUGUACAAAGAAGUACAUUUGAACAAUUGCAUUUUUUGGAAGUGUUGAAGGAUUUUUUUUAAAUACUUUGGAACUUUGAUUGUGGCAUUAGUUUGGAACUUUGAUGAUGGUUAUUGACAAUGUUAUGUAUUUGAUAAUAUAUUUCUAUGUUAAUAUAAUGUUAGUUUGGUUAUCUA